AUUGAAACACCGGUUCCAGUACUAUCACUGAAGUUAAGAAACGUAGAGCCUGGCCAGUAUCUAGAUGAGUGACCGCUUGGGAAUACCAGGUACUGUAAG